UGAGGAAUAUUGCGCAAUGGCCGAAAGGCUGACGCAGCGACGCCGCGUGAGGGAUGAAGUCCGUUAGGAUGUAAACCUCUUUUGCAGGGGAUGAAGCUGCCGCUACAGGCGGCAGUCGACCGUACCCUGCGAAUAAGGGUCGGCUAACUACGUGCCAGCAGCCGCGGUAAUACGUAGGACCCGAGCGUUGUCCGGAUUUACUGGGUGUAAAGGGCGUGUAGGUGGGCGCCUAAGUCGAUGGUGAAAUCCUGCGGCUCAACCGUAGAAUUGCCGUCGAUACUGGGCGUCUUGAGUACGGCAGAGGGAGAUGGAAUUCAUGGUGUAGCGGUGAAAUGUGUAGAUAUCAUGAAGAACACCGGUAGCGAAGGCGGUCUCCUGGUCCGUUACUGACACUGAGGCGCGAAAGCGUGGGGAGCAAACAGG
rnacentral:rRNA from 2 species